GCCAUCCUCCCCUGCAGCCCCCUAGCCUAACGCCGUCCUCCCCUGCGUGGGUGUGGGUGUUUGUGGGUGCUUUUGCUGAUGUUGUUGGCAGGCCAUGCAUGCAAAAAAAGCGACACACACCGCACGAAGUGCCUGCAAGGCAGCAUGGGACCAGACUCACCUUUGCGACCUAAAAUGAGGCGUGUGCGGGUAUCUCACCGAAGGCGGAGAGACUGCCGCAUACAACCAGACAUUCGAUGGUUUUCAUACAUUCGCAAAAAAUUCCGGACAUGAGACCGCACACAACAAUGUGGCAAUGUACACGAAAUUUAAA
rnacentral:lncRNA from 1 species